UACGGGGGUGUCAUUCUUUGUUCUUCAUUACUCCUCGUACACGGCUCGUAGGUGGCCAACUAAGUCAGACGUGAAAUCCCUCGGCUUAACCGGGGAACUGCGUCUGAUACUGGAUGGCUUGAGUUCGAGAGAGGUGAGUGGAAUUCCGGGUGUAGAGGUGAAAUUCGUAGAUAUUCGGAGGAACACCAGUGGCGAAGGCGGCUCACUGGCUCGAUACUGACGCUGAGGUGCGAAAGCGUGGGGAGCAAACAGG
rnacentral:rRNA from 1 species